rnacentral:rRNA from 1 species
CCUACGGGUGGCAGCAGUGGGGAAUAUUGCACAAUGGGCGCAAGCCUGAUGCAGCCAUGCCGCGUGUGUGAAGAAGGCCUUCGGGUUGUAAAGCACUUUCAGCGGGGAGGAAGGCGGUGAGGUUAAUAACCUCAUCGAUUGACGUUACCCGCAGAAGAAGCACCGGCUAACUCCGUGCCAGCAGCCGCGGUAAUACGGAGGGUGCAAGCGUUAAUCGGAAUUACUGGGCGUAAAGCGCACGCAGGCGGUCUGUCAAGUCGGGUGUGAAAUCCCCGGGCUCAACCUGGGAACUGCAUUCGAAACUGGCAGGCUAGAGUCUUGUAGAGGGGGGUAGAAUUCCAGGUGUAGUGGUGAAAUGCGUAGAGAUCUGGAGGAAUACCGGUGGCGAAGGCGGCCCCCUGGACAAAGACUGACGCUCAGGUGCGAAAGCGUGGGGAGCAAACAGGAUUAGAUACCCCUGUAGUC